UUUUGGACAAUGGGGGCAACCCUGAUCCAGCAAUGCCGCGUGAGUGAAGAAGGCCUUCGGGUUGUAAAGCUCUUUUGUCAGGGAAGAAACAGCAGCUCUAACACAGUCUGCGAAUGACGGUACCUGAAGAAUAAGCACCGGCUAACUACGUGCCAGCAGCCGCGGUAAUACGUAGGGUGCGAGCGUUAAUCGGAAUUACUGGGCGUAAAGCGUGCGCAGGCGGUUAUACAAGACAGGCGUGAAAUCCCCGGGCUUAACCUGGGAAUGGCGCCUGUGACUGUAUAGCUAGAGUGUGUCAGAGGGGGGUAGAAUUCCACGUGCAGCAGUGAAAUGCGUAGAUAUGGGAGGAAUACCAAUGGCGAAGGCAGCCCCCUUGGUAACACUGACGCUCAUGCACGAA
rnacentral:rRNA from 1 species